rnacentral:rRNA from 1 species
UCGAAACCUGCCCAGCAGAACGACCCGUGAACGUGUUUGCCAAUGAGGGGCGUCGGGCAUAGUGUGGCCCCUUGCGUGCCACCGUGCCCCUCGCCCAUGCCGGGGAGCGCUCACUCGUGGGUGCUCCCUUGCUACAUAAACGAACCCCGGCGCGUAAAGCGUCAAGGAACAUGAACUCAAUGUGAGCGCUUUCACCCGCUCGGUUAGCCUUGCGGGUGGAGGUGCCAUGUCUUAUUAACAAUAAACGACUCUCGGCAACGGAUAUCUCGGCUCUCGCAUCGAUGAAGAACGUAGCGAAAUGCGAUACUUGGUGUGAAUUGCAGAAUCCCGUGAACCAUCGAGUCUUUGAACGCAAGUUGCGCCCGAAGCUUCGGCUGAGGGCACGUCUGCUUGGGCGUCACGCAUCGCGUCUCCCCCACAUCGCCUUGAGCGGAGGGGAAGGAAGAUGGCUUCCCGUGCCUCACCCGGCGCGGUUGGCCUAAAAUUGGAGCCCGCGGCACUUUGCUCUCGCGGCGAUAGGUGGUGAACAAGGCCUCGGCCGCGCAAACAACCCGCCACGAAGCUCUAUGCCAUGCGUGCUCGUCGGACCCUUUGAAGUUGCCUCGGGCGACUCANACCUUUGCGACCCCAGGUCAGGCGGGG